rnacentral:rRNA from 1 species
GUAGGUGGCAAGCGUUGUCCGGAAUUAUUGGGCGUAAAGCGCGCGCAGGUGGUUCUUUAAGUCCGAUGUGAAAGCCCCCGGGCUCAACCGGGGGAGGGUCAUUGGAAACUGGGGAACUUGAGUGCAGGAGAGGAAAGUGGAAUUCCACGUGUAGCGGUGAAAUGCGUAGAUAUGUGGAGGAACACCAGUGGCGAAGGCGACUUUCUGGCCUGUAACUGACACUGAGGCGCGAAAGCGUGGGGAGCAAACAGGAUUAGAUACCCUGGUAGUCCACGCCGUAAACGAUGAGUGCUAAGUGUUGGGGGGUUUCCGCCCCUCAGUGCUGCAGCUAACGCAUUAAGCACUCCGCCUGGGGAGUACGGUCGCAAAGACUGA